AGCGGGGUGGAGCAGUCUGGUAGCUCGUCGGGCUCAUAACCCGAAGGUCGUUGGUUCAAAUCCAGCUCCCGCAACCA
rnacentral:tRNA from 1 species